UUUUCAUUAGUCCAUCAGAAUCAGAAACAGAGGAUAGAGACGCGAGAGAGAGUGAGAUCCAGAUUUGAGCCUCCAUUCUCCUCCUUGCUUGGCUUUCCUCCUUCGCUGGUGAGUGGUGUAUCGUCUUCCGCCGCUGCAAGGUGUCCCGACGAAGUGACUAUCGGCCUUCUCCCUGUUGUGUCAGCUAAGAAACUGCCCUUGUUGACAGUGGGUGUCGGAUCCUUCUCCCUCCUCUGUUCUUAGCGUCACCGGCGUGGGUGGCAAGGAUUCGGCUUGCCACAACCUUCCUCUACCUAUGCUUCACUUCGUUCAGGUUUUUCUGCCAUCUCCUUCUGCUCUUCUUCCCUGACCGCUGUAGCAGAUCAAAGACCGUUCCUCUUUUCCUCACCGGCAUCGAUUGCGUGGGGUAGAGUUGAUCCUUUCUUCUAUCGGUGCACUACUGUUGGUAUUGCCAUCGAGCCCCUCAUUCAUCGUCUUCCUCUGUUUCAAGUGUUUGUAAGAUGGGUAGCUCGAUUGAAGUAUAAGAAGUGAGUUUUGAGCUUUGAAUGUAUUACAGGUAAGUGGAUAAUGUCCCAAUCAAUUUAUAUAUUUGAAAAUUUUCUUUUAUCAACUAUUAUUUUUAAUAAUUUAAAGUCAUUAACAUAUGCCACUCUAGCAUUGAUUAAUGUUGUUGAUUAAGUUGCUUUAGCUCUUGAAGUUAUUAUGAUUUAUACUUAUAAGAUUGGCAGAAAUGCUUUUAUAAAUUCUAGUGCUCUUUUAUUCAAUAAAGAUAAGCAUGGAAAUGGGUGAAGGAAUUUAUGGAACGUUAGUUGUGAAUCUUCAUAUUUUAAAGGAUUGAUAUUUUAAACAGUUCAUGCGAGUUUGAUAUUGAGAAGAGAAAAGUUUAUUUUGAAAGUGAUGAUUUUCUCGCAUGUUUGAAAAUGAAUUUCAAGGGGAUUUUAUAUAGAACACUGGUUGCUAAUGGUAGUUCUGUUAGCCCUUGACACGCCAUGGUAUACUUAGCUAGCAGGGUGUUUAUAGGAGGUGCUAGCCCCGUGCGAUGGCCAACGCACGUGGAACGGAGGAAUGGUUAUUCGUGAGCAUCGUACUCAUGUUUGUUUCGUGGCUUUGGCCACGUUUGGUUAACAUUACCCUCGUGGACUGUGUGUCCAUUUUUGUUUUAUGGCUUUGGCCGCAUUUGGUUACUUACUCUCGUGGAUUGUGUAUCCACGUUUGUAUUCAUGGCAUAAGUCGCGUUUGAUUAUUUACCCUCGUGGAUUGUGUGUCCACGUCUGUUUAUUGUUUUGAUAAGUUCCUAAAAUUGUGAAUUUGAUUAUUUGGUGAUUUUAUAUUCCAUUGGUUUUUAUUUAGUAAACUAUUUAUAAAUAUUUAUAUCAUUUAUGUGCUUUCUUGAAAUCAAGUAACAUUUGUUAUGAUAGUUUAAUGAUUUAAGAUUUUAUUUAAAAUUUUAUAGAGCCACUUUAUUUUGAAGUUUAUUAAAUUUUUAUGAAAAUUGUUAUCUAUUUAACUUACAUAAUUAUUUCAAACUUUUCUUUUUAUUCAUAUUCAAUUAUUUAUUGUCGGGACGUUAUUCACUGGAAAGUAUUUUAUUUGGCCUCAGAUACCAUAGCUGAUUUCGUACUCAUUGCUGAUCUUUGAUGGGCUUGUUACUGAAUUGAAUAGAAGAUUACUUUUGAGAAUAUCAUCUUAUUCAUGUAAAAUUCAAAAACUUAUGUAGGAUCUUUUGGAAGUUCGAUUUAGAGUGCUCCACAUCAACUAUAGUUAGGGUCUUGAUUUUUUUUAUGUUAAUUAUGUGCUGCUGAGAAGCAAAGCUCUAUAUUGUUGGAUAUAUGAUGUAAACUUUUUGUUGUAGAAAUUUUGAAGGACUCUACCUUUAGGGGUGGUGCUGCAGAAAUUAAAAAAAAAUGUUUGAUAUUUUGAUUUA